UUUUUUGUGGCUCAUGGUAGAGUGCUUGCCUAGCAUGCAUGAGGUACUGGGUUCCAUCCCCAGUGAAAGGA
rnacentral:tRNA from 1 species